rnacentral:rRNA from 1 species
UACGAAGGGUGCAAGCGUUGUUCGGAAUUACUGGGCGUAAAGCGCGCGCAGGCGGUCUUUCAAGUCAGUGGUGAAAGCCCGGAGCUCAACUCCGGAAAUGCCAUUGAAACUGUAAGACUUGAGGAUGAGAGAGGUGAGUGGAAUUCCCAGUGUAGAGGUGAAAUUCGUAGAUAUUGGGAAGAACACCGGUGGCGAAGGCGGUUCACUGGCUCAUUUCUGACGCUCAGGCGCGACAGCGUGGGGAUCAAACAGG